GCAGGGGACCGCCGGCCAAACCGGACGCCAUUCUCCGCAUUCUCCUCAGAUUAUAAUCGUCAGUUGAAGUUAAUUUUGCUUUUUCUUGGCUUGGUUUGGAAUUGAAUCGACUUGUGCUGGUAGGAUAACGUCUAUGAUAUCGCUAAGCACAGCUCUUCCUCACACUGCUGGGAUAUAUAGGAGGUUUGUUACGACGGAGAUUACCGGCGCUGCCCGCAAGUCCAUCGUGUGCGGUUUAGGAAUUAUUUGUAGAAACAGCAGGCGUAGUCGCAAAGAAAGAAGACAACAUGGACGUCGGAACGACGCGGCUUCCUGCAAGGUUGGAGUGCCUUUCAACAAGUAAAACGGCCUGAACAUCAGUAGGCAACACGCACAAGGCAUGAACAUCCUCAUAUGUGAAUAAACAUUAUAUUCACAACGUUUCA